AGAGUUUGAUCCUGGCUCAGAAUCAACGCUGGCGGCGUGCCUAACACAUGCAAGUCGAACGAGAAAGGGGAGCAAUCCCUGAGUAAAGUGGCGACCGGGUGAGUAACACGUGACUAACCUACCCUUGAGUGGGGGAUAACCUCGGGAAACCGGGGCUAAUACCGCAUAACAUCUUUGGAUCGGAAGAACUGGAGAUCAAAGGAGCAAUUCGCUGAAGGAGGGGGUCGCGGCUGAUUAGCUAGUUGGCGGGGUAAUGGCCCACCAAGGCUUUGAUCGGUAGCCGGCCUGAGAGGGCGCACGGCCACACUGGAACUGAAACACGGUCCAGACUCCUACGGGAGGCAGCAGUGGGGAGUUUUGCGCAAUGGGGGAAACCCUGACGCAGCAACGCCGCGUGGAGGAUGAAGUCCCUUGGGACGUAAACUCCUUUCGACCGGGACGAUAAUGACGGUACCGGUGGAAGAAGCCCCGGCUAACUUCGUGCCAGCAGCCGCGGUAAUACGAGGGGGGCGAGCGUUGCUCGGAAUUAUUGGGCGUAAAGGGCGCGUAGGCGGUGCGGUAAGUCACCUGUGAAACCUCCGGGCUUAACUCGGAGCCUGCAGGCGAAACUGCCGUGCUGGAGUAUGGGAGAGGUGCGUGGAAUUCCCGGUGUAGCGGUGAAAUGCGUAGAUAUCGGGAGGAACACCUGUGGCGAAAGCGGCGCACUGGACCAUAACUGACGCUGAGGCGCGAAAGCUAGGGGAGCAAACAGGAUUAGAUACCCUGGUAGUCCUAGCCCUAAACGAUGGAUGCUUGGUGUGAUCGGUACCCAAUCCGAUUGUGCCGUAGCUAACGCGUUAAGCAUCCCGCCUGGGGAGUACGGUCGCAAGGCUGAACUCAAA
rnacentral:rRNA from 1 species